rnacentral:lncRNA from 1 species
GAAGCCCCAGUACCAGGCUUUUCACGAGAGAGCGCAGUCAGGCGGGAACAAAGGCAGCUCGGACGGGCGCUUUAAGACACUAGGGCAGUCACUGACGA